rnacentral:lncRNA from 1 species
GCCCUUUCGGCCUCGCUUUCCGUUUUUUGGCUUCAUCCCCUAGAUCUGCAAACAGUUCCUCGUGUUUCUUCCGUUAGCCGGGAAACGCGAACUGCAGCGUUUGGGACCCGGGUUUGCGCGUGUGGAAAGCAAAAGGGGUUACUCUGCUGGAGUUCGACAUUGCAAAUAAAGGUCUUUAUCCCCGGCGGUUCUACAAAAUUAGUUCUGCAGGGAUUCUGGUUGAAAGAAGCGUUAAAGUGGGCCUUGUAGGAGUCAGCAAUAAUCCAAUUUUACAUGGGUGCAGGUGGCUGCCUGUGUCUAG